CUGUUACUCCCUCCGUCCGGAAAUACUUGUCAUUGAAAUGGAUGUAUCUAGAUGUAUUUUAGUUCUAGAUACAUCCAUUUUGAUGACAAGUAAUUCCGGACGGAGGGAGUAUGUU
rnacentral:pre_miRNA from 1 species